rnacentral:rRNA from 1 species
ACCCGCUGAACUUAAGCAUAUCAAUAAGCGGAGGAAAAGAAACCAACAGGGAUUGCCCUAGUAACGGCGAGUGAAGCGGCAACAGCUCAAAUUUGAAAUCUGGCUCUUUUAGAGUCCGAGUUGUAAUUUGCAGAGGGCGCUUUGGCUUUGGCAGCGGUCCAAGUUCCUUGGAACAGGACGUCACAGAGGGUGAGAAUCCCGUACGUGGUCGCUGGCUAUUGCCGUGUAAAGCCCCUUCGACGAGUCGAGUUGUUUGGGAAUGCAGCUCUAAAUGGGAGGUACAUUUCUUCUAAGGCUAAAUAUUGGCCAGAGACCGAUAGCGCACAAGUAGAGUGAUCGAAAGAUGAAAAGCACUUUGGAAAGAGAGUCAAACAGCACGUGAAAUUGUUGAAAGGGAAGCGCUUGCAGCCAGACUUGCUUGCAGUUGCUCAUCCGGGCUUUUGCCCGGUGCACUCUUCUGUAGGCAGGCCAGCAUCAGUUUGGGCGGUAGGAUAAAGGUCUCUGUCACGUACCUCUCUUCGGGGAGGCCUUAUAGGGGAGACGACAUACUACCAGCCUGGACUGAGGUCCGCGCAUCUGCUAGGAUGCUGGCGUAAUGGCUGU